UACGUAGGGUGCGAGCGUUGUUCGGAAUUACUGGGCGUAAAGGGCGCGUAGGCGGGUUUGCAAGUCGAUUGUGAAAUCCCAGGGCUUAACCCUGGAGCUGCAGUCGAAACUGCAAGUCUUGAAUGUCUGAGAGGGUGGGAGAAUUCCUGGUGUAGUAGUGAAAUACGUAGAUAUCAGGAGGAAUACCGGCGGCGAAGGCGCCUACCUGGCAGUACAUUGACGCUGAGGCGCGAAAGCGUGGGGAGCAAACAGG
rnacentral:rRNA from 1 species